CCAAUAAGAAAAGUCAGUUGGAAAAACAUCCUAAUAUUCACAUAUGAGUUAUUCUACCUCUUUAGCUCCUCUCACUACUUUUUCUACUAUUGACAUUGUCAUAAUACGUGAAGUCUUGCUUGAGAAUGCUCCGGACACCUGACCGUAGAAGGAAGAAUGGAAAUUGUAAUAACAAAGUCCUAAUUCUAAUAGAAUACUAAAAAUACUCUAAUUAGACCAUAAUAAUGCUAAACAAGCUUAAUCAAAUUCAAAAAAAUCUCAAAGAAAUUUCAAACAAACAAUAAGAAUUCUUAAAGAAAUAUUAGAGGGAUCACAAAUAUCACUCAAAUACAUCUCAAUUCAAUCUUAAUUUAACUCUAGUUAAAAUCCUAUUGAAUUUCAUUCAAACUAUAGGCCAAAACUAAUUAAAUCUUAAAUCCUAAAUUAAACCCUAAACCAAAUUCUAACCCUAAAUCAAAUCCUAAUCCAAAUCCUAAAUCCUAAACCAAACCCUAACCAAAUCCUAAACUCUAAAUCCUAAAUCAAACUCUAAUCCAAACUCUAAUCAAACCUUAAACCAAACCCUAAACCAAAUCCUAACCAAACCCUAACCAAAUCCUAAACCAAACCCUAGUAAUUCCUACAAUAGAUUUAAACCUCAAUAACUAAUGAAUAAAUUGUUGAUCUUAAUUCAAAUUUUUCACAUUUCUAAAAAAAAAAGUUGAAAAAAAACACAAAAAAAUUGAAAAAGAUCGGAGUUACGAAAUUGAUGAUAACCUCAAAAAUAUGCUCGGGUAUUGGUCGGCCUCCUUCUCCAAUCUUGAUGCCAAUCUUCCAGAGUCAAUAUCU
rnacentral:lncRNA from 1 species